rnacentral:rRNA from 1 species
CUUACAGUAUUAAAGGUAACGCCUGCCCAGUGAUAAUUUAAACGGCCGCGGGAUCUUCCACCGUGCAAAGGUAGCAUAAUCACUUGUCCCCUAAAUAGUGACUAGUAUGAAUGGCCAAAUGAAGAUUUUACUGUCUCUUGUAGCCGAUCUGUGAAACUAAUUUAUCAGUACAAAAGCUGAUAUUUUUACAUAAGACGAAAAGACCCUGUGGAACUUCAAGCGUAAAUCACCAAAUGACACUACUGCUUUUAGUUGGGGCAACUUUGGAAAUAAACCAAACUUCCAAUAUACUACACAAGAUUAACAUAUCGUACCCUAUAUUGACCCAGCUCCUGCUGACCAAAGAACCAAGCUACCCCAGGGAUAACAGCGCCAUCCCCUCCAAGAGCCCAAAUCGACGAGCGGGGUUUACGACCUCGAUGUUGGAUCAGGGCCCCCAAACAGUGCAACAGCUGCUAAAGGUUUGUUUGUUCAACAAUUAAAGCCCUACGUGAUCUGAGUUAAGACCGGAGU